UUUGGAUAACUGUGGUAAUCCUAGAGCUAAUACAUGCAAUCAAGUCCCGACCAGUCUGACUGGGAAGGACGCUUUUAUUAGAUCAAGACCAAUCGCCCGGCUUCGGUCGGGCGUUUCCUUGGCGACUCUAGGUAACACAUCAGAUCGCAUGGUCUCGCACCGGCGACUUAUCUUUCAAAUGCCUGACUUAUCAACUGUCGAUGGUAGACUCUAUGUCUACCAUGGUUGUAACGGGUAACGGGGAAUCAGGGUUCGAUUCCGGAGAGGGAGCCUGAGAAACGGCUACCACAUCCAAGGAAGGCAGCAGGCACGCAAAUUACCCACUCCCGGCACGGGGAGGUAGUGACAAAAAAUAACGAUACGGGACUCAUAUGAGGCCCCGUAAUCGGAAUGAGUACACUUUAAAUCCUUUAACAAGGAUCCAUUGGAGGGCAAGUCUGGUGCCAGCAGCCGCGGUAAUUCCAGCUCCAAUAGCGUAUAUUAAAGUUGUUGCGGUUAAAAAGCUCGUAGUUGGUUCUGCGUGCUACGCUGUCGGUUCGCCGCCUGCCGGUGUAACUGGCAUGCCGUGGCAUGUCCUGUCGGUGGCGUUCGGGAGCCUUGUCUAGGUGAGACCUCUGAACUGAAAGGAACGGGUGGUUAUUCAACCGGAGGCCUCCCCGUUCGCCUACUCUAUCCUACCUAGGUGCUCUUCACCGAGUGUCGAGGUAGGCCGACACGUUUACUUUGAACAAAUUAGAGUGCUCAAAGCAGGCUGAAAUUUCUGCCUGAAUAGUGGUGCAUGGAAUAAUAAAACAGGACCUCGGUUCUAUUUUGUUGGUUCUUAGGAACACGAGGUAAUGAUCAAUACGGACAGGGGGGGGCAUUCGUAUUGCGUCCUCCGAUGAGGCGGGGCCGGGAAACCAAAGCUUUUGGGUCUCGGGGGAAGUAUGGUUGCAAAGCUGAAACUUAAAGGAAUUGACGGAAGGGCACCACCAGGAGUGGAGCCUGCGGCUUAAUUUGACUCAACACGGGAAACCUCACCAGGCCAGGACAUUGGAAGGAUUGACAGAUUGAUAGCUCUUUCUUGAUUCAGUGGGUAGUGGUGCAUGGCCGUUCUUAGUUGGUGGAUCGAUUUGUCUGGUUAAUUCCGAUAACGAACGAGACUCUAGCUUAUUAACUAGGCGUCUUCCGGUGCCCUCGUCACCGGCGACACUCAUUCUUCUUAAGGGGACAAGCGGCUUAUAGCCGCACGAGAUUGAGCAAUAACAGGUCUGUGAUGCCCUUAGAUGUCCUGGGCCGCACGCGCGCUACACUGAAAGAAUCAGCGUGUGCCUCCCUGGCCGAAAGGCCCGGGUAAUCCGCUGAACCUCUUGCGUGCUAGGAAUUGGGGCUUGCAAUUGUUCCCCAUGAACGAGGAAUUCCCAGUAAGCGCGAGUCAUAAGCUCGCGUUGAUUACGUCCCUGCCCUUUGUACACACCGCCCGUCGCUACUACCGAUUGAAUGAUUUAGUGAGGUCUUCGGACUGGCGGUAAUCUCUACCGACUCGUCGAUAUUGAUGAACGCUGGAAAGAUGACCAAACUUGAUCAUUUAGAGGAAGUAAAAGUCGUAACAAGGUUUCC
rnacentral:rRNA from 1 species